rnacentral:rRNA from 1 species
ACGCGUGGGAAAUCUGCCGAGUAGCGGGGGACAACGUUUGGAAACGAACGCUAAUACCGCAUAACAAUGAGAAUCGCAUGAUUCUGAUUUAAAAGAAGCAACUGCUUCACUACUUGAUGAUCCCGCGUUGUAUUAGCUAGUUGGUAGUGUAAAGGACUACCAAGGCGAUGAUACAUAGCCGGCCUGAGAGGGUGAACGGCCACACUGGGACUGAGACACGGCCCAGACUCCUACGGGAGGCAGCAGUAGGGAAUCUUCGGCAAUGGGGGCAACCCUGACCGAGCAACGCCGCGUGAGUGAAGAAGGUUUUCGGAUCGUAAAACUCUGUUGUUNGAGAAGAACGUUAAGUAGAGUGGAAAGUUACUUAAGUGACGGUAUCUAACCAGAAAGGGACGGCUAACUACGUGCCAGCAGCCGCGGUAAUACGUAGGUCCCGAGCGUUGUCCGGAUUUAUUGGGCGUAAAGCGAGCGCAGGUGGUUCCUUAAGUCUGAUGUAAAAGGCAGUGGCUCAACCAUUGUGUGCAUUGGAAACUGGGGAACUUG